rnacentral:rRNA from 1 species
GUGAACGCUGGCGGUAGGCCUAACACAUGCAGGUCGAACGGCAGCACAGUAAGAGCUUGCUCUUACGGGUGGCGAGUGGCGGACGGGUGAGGAAUACAUCGGAAUCUACUUUUUCGUGGGGGAUAACGUAGGGAAACUUACGCUAAUACCGCAUACGACCUACGGGUGAAAGCAGGGGAUCUUCGGACCUUGCGCGAUUGAAUGAGCCGAUGUCGGAUUAGCUAGUUGGCGGGGUAAAGGCCCACCAAGGCGACGAUCCGUAGCUGGUCUGAGAGGAUGAUCAGCCACACUGGAACUGAGACACGAUCCAGACUCCUACGGGAGGCAGCAGUGGGGAAUAUUGGACAAUGGGCGCAAGCCUGAUCCAGCCAUACCGCGUGGGUGAAGAAGGCCUUCGGGUUGUAAAGCCCUUUUGUUGGGAAAGAAAAGCAGCAGGUUAAUACCCCGCUGUUCUGACGGUACCCAAAGAAUAAGCACCGGCUAACUUCGUG